rnacentral:rRNA from 1 species
GAUGAACGCUGGCGGCGUGCCUAAUACAUGCAAGUCGAGCGAACAGACGAGGAGCUUGCUCCUCUGACGUUAGCGGCGGACGGGUGAGUAACACGUGGAUAACCUACCUAUAAGACUGGGAUAACUUCGGGAAACCGGAGCUAAUACCGGAUAAUAUAUUGAACCGCAUGGUUCAAUAGUGAAAGACGGUUUUGCUGUCACUUAUAGAUGGAUCCGCGCCGCAUUAGCUAGUUGGUAAGGUAACGGCUUACCAAGGCGACGAUGCGUAGCCGACCUGAGAGGGGUAUCGGCCACAAGGAAACUGAAACACGGCCCAAACUCCCAGGGGGGGCAGCAGGGGGGAAUUUUCAGCAGUGGGGGAAAGCCUAACGGGGCAACGCCGGGGGAGGGAGAAAGGUCUUGGGUUCGAAAAACUUUUUUUUGGGGAAAAAAAAAAGGUGUAAGAAACUAUGCCGUUUUGGAGGGUACCAAAGAAGAAGGCCCCGGUAAACUACGG